GAUGAACGCUGGCGGCGUGCUUAACACAUGCAAGUCGAACGUGAAGAAGCAGCAAUGUUUCUGAAAGUGGCGGACGGGUGAGUAACACGUGGGUGACCUGCCUUGCAGAGGGGGAUAACGAGGGGAAACCGUUCGCUAAUACCGCAUAGGCUUACACUGAUGGGAAGUGGUGUGGGUAAAACUGAGGUGCUGCAAGAGGGGCCUGCGUCCGAUUAGCUAGUUGGUGAGGUAAUGGCUCACCAAGGCGAUGAUCGGUAGCUGGUCUGAGAGGACGAUCAGGCCACACGGGGAACUGAGAAACGGUCCCGACUCCUACGGGGGGCAGCAGUGAGGAAUAUUGGGCAAUGGACGAAAGUCUGACCCAGCAACGCCGCGUGGAGGAUGAAGGUUUUUGGAUUGUAAACUCCUUUUGUGGGGAAGAGUGACGGACGGUACCCCAAGAAUAAGUCACGGCUAACUACGUG
rnacentral:rRNA from 1 species